rnacentral:rRNA from 3 species
CCUGGCGGCACUAGCGCGGUGGUCCCACCUGACCCCAUGCCGAACUCAGAAGUGAAACGCCGUAGCGCCGAUGGUAGUGUGGAGUCUCCCCAUGCGAGAGUAGGGAACUGCCAGGC